UGCAACAGAGCAGGUAUCAGGCUCAACAACGUUAGCCCACCACACCUUGCUAAGCCACAUCCCCACGGAUAACACAGCAGUGACUAACAUUAGGCAAUAAGCACACCAAGCUUGACCUAGCUUCACAUUCCCUGGCCGGCAAAUCUCGUGCCAGCAGCCGCGGUUACACGGGAGGCCAAAGAUAAUAUCCCAACGGCGUAAAGAGUGACCCCCUAACCCCACCUGUUCAAAGAUCCCCAAACCCUGUCUAAGAGAUGAAAUCCCAAGACACCUGGAACCCCCCACCCAAUCCCCAACAGGCCACCUAACUCACGAAAACCGGGACACAAACUAGGAUU
rnacentral:rRNA from 1 species